UACGGGGGGGGGCAAGCGUUGUUCGGAAUUACUGGGCGUAAAGGGCUCGUAGGCGGCCAACUAAGUCGGACGUGAAAUCCCUCGGCUUAACCGGGGAACUGCGUCCGAUACUGGAUGGCUUGAGUUCGGGAGAGGGAUGCGGAAUUCCAGGUGUAGCGGUGAAAUGCGUAGAUAUCUAGAGGAACACCGGUGGCGAAGGUGGCAUCCUGGACCGACACUGACGCUGAGGAGCGAAAGCCAGGGGAGCAAACGGG
rnacentral:rRNA from 1 species